AUAACAGUUGCUCUCUUUGAUAUUCUCAUGAUAUUAGUAACAAUGUUUUCCUACUUGAAAGCUGGAUGGAUUAGGAAUGAUGCCAUCUCUCCUAUCAUUGGUGAGCAUGAUCCAUACUACCAUGUUUCUGGACGGGAACUAAGCCAUCUCCGCACUGUUGCUGUUCUCAUGACUGUUAUAAUGGUUGUCGCUAUCCUCACAUCAAUUGCUAUUGUUCGC
rnacentral:misc_RNA from 1 species